GAGGGUAUAGCUCAAGUGGUAGAGCACAUGCUUAGCACGCACAAGCUCCCAGGUUCAAUCCCUGGUAUCUGUA
rnacentral:tRNA from 1 species